rnacentral:rRNA from 1 species
AGUGAACGCUGGCGGUAGGCCUAACACAUGCAAGUCGAACGGCAGCACAGUAAGAGCUUGCUCUUACGGGUGGCGAGUGGCGGACGGGUGAGGAAUACAUCGGAAUCUACUUUUUCGUGGGGGAUAACGUAGGGAAACUUACGCUAAUACCGCAUACGACCUACGGGUGAAAGCAGGGGAUCUUCGGACCUUGCGCGAUUGGAUGAGCCGAUGUCGGAUUAGCUAGUUGGCGGGGUAAAGGCCCACCAAGGCGACGAUCCGUAGCUGGUCUGAGAGGAUGAUCAGCCACACUGGAACUGAGACACGGUCCAGACUCCUACGGGAGGCAGCAGUGGGGAAUAUUGGACAAUGGGCGCAAGCCUGAUCCAGCCAUACCGCGUGGGUGAAGAAGGCCUUCGGGUUGUAAAGCCCUUUUGUUGGGAAAGAAAAGCAGCAGGUUAAUACCCCGCUGUUCUGACGGUUCCCAAAGAAUAAGCACCGGCUAACUUCGUG